rnacentral:tRNA from 1 species
CGGGGAGUAGCUCAGAUAGUUAGAGCGCACGCAUGGGGUGCGUGAGGCCGCCGGGGCGGAACCGGCCUUCCCGACCA